GACGUAGGAUGCAAGCGUUGUCCGGAUUUAUUGGGCGUAAAGAGUUCGUAGGUGGUUUGUUAAGUCUGAUGUUAAAGACUGGGGCUCAACCUCGGAAAUGCAUUGGAUACUGGCAGACUUGAGUGUGGUAGAGGCAAUCGGAAUUCCAGGUGUAGCGGUGAAAUGCGUAGAUAUCAGGAAGAACACCCGUGGCUAAGGCGGCUCUCUAGUACGGUACUGACGCUGAGACGCGAAAGCGUGGGGAGCGAACAGG
rnacentral:rRNA from 1 species